ACCCGAGCUCCUCUUCUUCCUGACUCUUCUUCUCUAUUCCUCGAGCGGUCUGUUCCGGGUGAUCGGCGACUCUUCCCUCAUCUUCUCGGUGUCGCCGGCGCAGAUCGGGUCUCGGAGCUUGGAGGAUAGGAGCUAGCUGGUUUCUUUCUCCCCGUCGAUUAGCAAGCGGUAGGAUCUCGUCUCCUUGAGCCAACUGUCGAUGCCGCUGGAUCGAUCCAGGUUCACCGAUCGCUGGCGUGGAUGAUGCCUUAGGGCUUCGAGGAGUGAACCGUGUAUCCUCAAGUUGAGUCGGAUGGGGUGAUACCUUCUGGAGACACUCGGUGGAGGGAGGAUCUGUUUUGUGGAUUUCAAAUUGAAUGCUGUGAGUUCUUGAUCCAGCAAUUCAUCCUGUUACUGGCAGCAACAAUCCCUGCUGUAGAUCUACAACCAGGGCAGUGAAUUGAGGUCCUGUUUCUGUGGGGUUUCCAUUGGUUACGACAGCCACCUCAUCUAGUAGCUCUUCUGGUUCCAGCUAUCAACAGCAGUGUGUAGAAUUAGGACUCUGAUUCGAGACAGGCGUCUCGGCCUUGGAUUGCUGGAUUGUACCUCCUAUUUGAGGCGGGUACCCUUUGACUUAUCUUUUGAUAAUGUCUUAUGAUAUGUGUAGCUUAUAUAUAUUUACUAGUGGUAGAUAGUAGAUCAUUUCUUCCCUGGUUUUAGCUAGUUGAUACC